CGGACGGGUGAGUAACACGUAAGGAACCUACCGAUAAGCGGGGGACAACAUCCGGAAACGGGUGCUAAUACCGCAUAGGAAGUUUGUUCGCAUGAACAAACUUAGAAAGAUGGCUCUGCUAUCACUUAUCGAUGGCCUUGCGGUGCAUUAACUAGUUGGCGAGGUAACGGCUCACCAAGGUGAUGAUGCAUAGCCGACCUGAGAGGGUAAUCGGCCACAUUGGGACUGAGACACGGCCCAAACUCCUACGGGAGGCAGCAGGC
rnacentral:rRNA from 1 species